rnacentral:rRNA from 1 species
UACGAAGGGGGCUAGCGUUGUUCGGAUUUACUGGGCGUAAAGCGCACGUAGGCGGAUCGUUAAGUCGGGGGUGAAAUCCUGGAGCUCAACUCCAGAACUGCCUUCGAUACUGGCGAUCUCGAGUCCGGAAGAGGUGAGUGGAACUCCUAGUGUAGAGGUGGAAUUCGUAGAUAUUAGGAAGAACACCAGUGGCGAAGGCGGCUCACUGGUCCGGUACUGACGCUGAGGAGCGAAAGCGUGGGGAGCGAACAGG